UGUGCUAGCAAUUCUAGAAAAAUUGGGCUUCCGUCGGGGUGGACGGGCAGAUUUCCACAGAUGUCCUUGGGAAAUGACGCAGGAAGGUAACCGGCAGGCAGAGGGGAGGGCCCGGGCCCUGUGACAGAUCAGGUAACAACCGAGUGGGGAUGGGGGCAGGGGUGACGCUCCUUGCCCCACACCAUCCACUGCUGGCACCCCGCGCCUCACCCCCCAGCCUGCCUCAGAGGAGCCGCUCCAAGGACACCCUGGAACAGCAAACAUGGGAUUUUGUUUGCAGACUUGGCUGAGCAACAAGGCCUCUCCCUGACCUUCUCCCUGCAUAGUCAUAAAGGGAAAGAGCCUGUUUAAAGUGCAAUUGCCUGAGGUCCCCCUCCAUAUUGCCACCCUGAGGGAGCAGCUCAGCUGGGCCUCGCCUCCAGGGAGGGGCAAGGACACUCCCCAGAGCUCAGCCCUCGGCACUUUACCCCAGGGCAGGCGCCUUUCCCGGGAGGGAAGGCCAGGCCCUCUGGGUCACUAGGAAUCCCUCCCCGGACAGGGGCUGGGCUGGGCUGGGCAGCAGCUGCCUUUGUGAAGGAGCCUGGGACCCGCCGGUUAUCUUAGCUGAUGGAAAGCUGUUUGGAGGAUGUGCAGAGAACGAAGGGAAGCCACCUAGGACAUCACCCAGGCCCAGCUGGGGCCACUUCCUGGAAGACGCCUUCCCUGACUUCCAAGGCAAGGCCCUUGGUGCCCUCCUCCGAGUAUUAGCCCCUUAGAUUUUUAUCAUGUCUAAUUGCUGCACUCACAUCUAUCUGCCUUUUGGAUUACAAGCCUCUGAGGACAACUUCUCCAGUUCCUACUUGCAGUAGGUCCAGGAAAAAAGACCAUGGGAAAACGAAAGAGUGCUGUUGGAGAGUGAAAAGUGUAAGCACUGCCGUAAUGGGCCUGUAAGACCGACUUGUUAGCUGACGCCACCUGGGAGAAGAGGCUUUGAGACACAGAGCAGGAUCAGCGGGCUCAAACAAAACUAAAUCACAAGUCUUCCUAGGAAACUCUCUCUGCAGAGGCAGCACUUAAUUCUAGAGAAGACCUUUGCCUCCAUGUCAUUAGUCAAGAAGGUUCCAGAUGGGUUCCCGAGCCAGCAAUGUUUUGAACUUGGACAAAAGCCCUGAAUGACCGUGGGCAAAAUCACAUCCAGGACUUCAUGCUGAAUGUCAGUAAGUGUUCAGUGUUUGGAACUGCCUGCUCAUCCUGACUUGGAAGCAAGUUUAUUUAUUCAGCAUAAAAGGAAGUAUUUGAACUCACAGAGUGUGAUUCUCUGCAACUUUUAAAAGCAGCAAGACUGGGCAGACAACUUUUAGGACAAUAAGACAUAUUUCUCUGUUCUGAAUAUUUUUUGCUAUCUUAACUAAAUUCUAUCUAUGUAGGAGCUCAACAAUAAAAAUGACUUAGUUUUGGCUAAUACAGGUAAUAAUUUAGAUGACAAAAAUGAGCCUGUUUUGUUUUUUUUUUUUGCCUAAAAUUCCGUCUGUUGUCUUCUCCAUUCAACUGUUUCAUUUUUGAACCAUUCUUUUGUGAAACGGAACAUGUAAACAACAUUUUCAUGAAUAUCACCAUAUCACCUAGGUGAAUAGAAUAAACUCUACCCAACCCACUCUUAGUUCUUUGCCUUGGUGUAUUAGAUCUAGCUGGCCUUUUGGAAUGAAAGAUUUGCAUAAAAUCAGGCAAAAGCAAAAUGGAACUGUCCUUUGCUGACUGGCAGGCACAG
ensembl:lncRNA